UACGGAGGGAGCUAGCGUUGUUCGGAAUUACUGGGCGUAAAGCGCGCGCAGGCGGUCUUCCAAGUCAGUGGUGAAAGCCCGGAGCUCAACUCCAGAACUGCCUUUGAUACUGAAGAUCUUGAGUUCGGGAGAGGUGAGUGGAACUGCGAGUGUAGAGGUGAAAUUCGUAGAUAUUCGCAAGAACACCAGUGGCGAAGGCGGCUCACUGGCCCGAUACUGACGCUGAGGCACGAAAGCGUGGGGAGCAAACAGGG
rnacentral:rRNA from 1 species